GAUGAACGCUGGCGGCGUGCCUAAUACAUGCAAGUCGAGCGAACGGACGAGAAGCUUGCUUCUCUGAUGUUAGCGGCGGACGGGUGAGUAACACGUGGAUAACCUACCUAUAAGACUGGGAUAACUUCGGGAAACCGGAGCUAAUGCCGGAUAAUAUUUUGAACCGCAUGGUUCAAAAGUGAAAGACGGUCUUGCUGUCACUUAUAGAUGGAUCCGCGCUGCAUUAGCUAGUUGGUAAGGUAACGGCUUACCAAGGCAACGAUGCAUAGCCGACCUGAGAGGGUGAUCGGCCACACUGGAACUGAGACACGGUCCAGACUCCUACGGGAGGCAGCAGUAGGGAAUCUUCCGCAAUGGGCGAAAGCCUGACGGAGCAACGCCGCGUGAGUGAUGAAGGUCUUCGGAUCGUAAAACUCUGUUAUAAGGGAAGAACAUAUGUGUAAGUAACUGUGCACAUCUUGACGGUACCUAAUCAGAAAGCCACGGCUAACUACGUG
rnacentral:rRNA from 1 species